AUACGUAGGUGGCAAGCGUUGUCCGGAUUUACUGGGUGUAAAGGGCGCGUAGGCGGGAUGUCAAGUCAGAUGUGAAAUCUAUGGGCUCAACUCAUAAACUGCAUUUGAAACUGACGUUCUUGAGUAUCGGAGAGGCAAGCGGAAUUCCUAGUGUAGCGGUGAAAUGCGUAGAUAUUAGGAGGAACACCAGUGGCGAAGGCGGCUUGCUGGACGACAACUGACGCUGAGGCGCGAAAGCGUGGGGAGCAAACAGGAUUAGAUACCCGGGUAGUCCACGCCGUAAACGAUGAAUACUAGGUGUGGGGGGACUGACCCCCUCCGUGCCGCAGUUAACACAAUAAGUAUUCCACCUGGGGAGUACGGCCGCAAGGUUGAAACUCAAAUGAAUUGACGGGG
rnacentral:rRNA from 1 species